rnacentral:sRNA from 1 species
UUGACAGCUCUGGAGGCUGGUGUUCUCUGUCUACAAUCUGCAGAACAAGUGCAGCACGUGGAGCAGCAGGGCAGGAUUCUCCAUUGCACCUGCCUGUGUGUCUAAACCUUGGCCUGUAGGGUCCAUCCCUAAGGGUUAAGGGGUAGUUCAGCAUUACAUACUCAUUCAUUCCUUGGCCUCA